rnacentral:rRNA from 1 species
GAACGACGCUGGCGGGCGUGGAUUAGGCAUGCAAGUCGAACGGUAGGAUACCUUCGGGUAUCUGAGAGUGGCGAACGGGUGAGUAACACGUAGGUGAUCUACCCUCAAGAUUGGGACAACCCAGGGAAACUUGGGCUAAUACCGGAUGAAAGCAGCAGUGAUGUUGUUUGAAAGGUGGCGUAAGCUGCCGUUUGGGGAUGAGCCUGCGCUCUAUUAGUUAGUUGGCGGGGUAAAGGCCCACCAAGGCGAUGAUAGAUAGGCGGCCUUAACGGGUGGUCGCCCACACUGGGAUUGAGAUACGGCCCAGACUCCUACGGGAGGCAGCAGUCGAGAAUAGUCUACAAUGGUCGAAAGACUGAUAGUGCGACGCCGCGUGAACGAAGAAGCCCUUCGGGGUGUAAAGUUCUUUUAUAUGUGAGCAGUGACACCCAUAUUAAUAGUAUGGGUGUAGAGAUAUUAGCAUAUGAAUAAGCAACGGCUAACUCCGUG